rnacentral:rRNA from 1 species
AGUGAACGCUGGCGGUAGGCCUAACACAUGCAAGUCGAACGGCAGCACAGUAAGAGCUUGCUCUUACGGGUGGCGAGUGGCGGACGGGUGAGGAAUACAUCGGAAUCUACUUUUUCGUGGGGGAUAACGUAGGGAAACUUACGCUAAUACCGCAUACGACCUACGGGUGAAAGCAGGGGAUCUUCGGACCUUGCGCGAUUGAAUGAGCCGAUGUCGGAUUAGCUAGUUGGCGGGGUAAAGGCCCACCAAGGCGACGAUCCGUAGCUGGUCUGAGAGGAUGAUCAGCCACACUAGAACUGAGACACGGUCCAGACUCCUACGGGAGGAAGCAGUGGGGAAUAUUGGACAAUGGGCGCAAGCCUGAUCCAGCCAUACCGCGUGGGUGAAGAAGGCCUUCGGGUUGUAAAGCCCUUUUGUUGUGAAAGAAAAGCAGCAGGUUAAUACCCCGCUGUUCUGACGGUACCCAAAGAAUAAGCACCGGCUAACUUCGUG